rnacentral:rRNA from 1 species
AGUGAACGCUGGCGGUAGGCCUAACACAUGCAAGUCGAACGGCAGCACAGUAAGAGCUUGCUCCUACGGGUGGCGAGUGGCGGACGGGUGAGGAAUACAUCGGAAUCUACCUUUUCGCGGGGGAUAACGUAGGCAAACUUACGCUAAUACCGCAUACGACCUACGGGUGAAAGCACGGGAUCUUCGGACCUUGCGCGAUUGAAUGAGCCGAUGUCGGAUUAGCUAGUUGGCGGGGUAAAGGCCCACCAAGGCGACGAUCCGUAGCUGGUCUGAGAGGAUGAGAAGCCACACUGGAACUGAGCCACGGUCCAGACUCCUACGGGAGGCAGCAGUGGGGAAUAUUGGACAAUGGGCGCAAGCCUGAUCCAGCCAUGCCGCGUGGGUGAAGAAGGCCUUCGGGUUGUAAAGCCCUUUUGUUGGGAAAGAAAAGCAGCAGGUUAAUACCCCGCUGUUCUGACGGUACCCAAAGAAUAAGCACCGGCUAACUUCGUG